rnacentral:rRNA from 1 species
UGAGAGUAAAAGUCGUAACAAGGUUUCCGUAGGUGAACCUGCGGAAGGAUCAUUAUCGUACAAUGGGGGUACCCGGGUUGUCGCUGACUUUUUUGUCGUGCACGCCCGAGUGCUCUCACAUACAAAUAUAUCCAUCUCACCCCUUUGUGCAUCACCGCGUGGGUGUCCCCCCUUCUUCGGAGGGGGGUGCUCACGUUUUUAACAUCAAACACCCUAGUGUAGAAUGUUCUUUGCGCGAUCACGCGCGAAUCAAUACAACUUUCAACAACGGAUCUCUUGGCUCUCGCAUCGAUGAAGAACGCAGCGAAAUGCGAUACGUAAUGUGAAUUGCAGAAUUCAGUGAAUCAUCGAAUCUUUGAACGCACCUUGCGCCCCUUGGCAUUCCGAGGGGCACACCCGUUUGAGUGUCGUGAACAUCCUCAACCUGCUUCGUUCUAUCGAACCAAGUAGGCUUGGAAUUUGGAGGUUUUUCUGCUGGCUUCCUCUGUGAAGCCAGCUCCUCUUAAAUCUAUCAGUGGGAUCCGCUUUGCUAGAUCCUCGACGUUGAUAAGAUGUUUCUACGUCUUGGGUUUCGCUCGGGAAAGGACCUGCUUCUAACCGUCCCCCCCAUCGGGGACAAUGUUCGAGAGCCGAUCGCCCUUCACGGGGUGGGAAGCUUUUCGACCCAUGAAACCUUGACCUCAAAUCGGGUGAGACUACCCGCUGAACUUAAGCAUAUCAAUAAGCGGAGGAAAAGAAACUAACAAGGAUUCCCCUAGUAACUGCGAGUGAAGCGGGAAAAGCUCAAAUUUAAAAUCUGGUGGUCUUUUGCCCAUCCGAGUUGUAAUUUAGAGAAGCGUCUUCCGCGCUGGACCGUACACAAGUCUCCUGGAACGGAGCGUCAUAGAGGGUGAGAAUCCCGUCUUUGGUACGGACCCCCAGGGCUUCUGUGAUGCGCUCUCGAAGAGUCGAGUUGUUUGGGAAUGCAGCUCAAAAUGGGUGGUGAACUCCAUCUAAAGCUAAAUAUUGGCGAGAGACCGAUAGCGAACAAGUACCGUGAGGGAAAGAUGAAAAGCACUUUGGAAAGAGAGUGAAACAGUACGUGAAAUUGUUGAAAGGGAAACGCUUAAAGUCAGUCGCGUCGACCGAGACUCAGCCUCGCUCUGGCUUGGUGUAUUUCUCGGUCCGACGGGUCAGCGUCAAUUUGGUCCCUCGGAUAAUGGCAAGGGAAAGGUGGCACCUUUGCGGGUGUGUUAUAGUCUUUUGUCGCAUGCGAGGGGUGAGAUUGAGGAACUCAGCACGCGCGCCCUUCUGGGUGUGUCGGGGCCUCGGCCCACGCCACGUGCUUAGGAUGCGGG